UACGUAGGGAGCAAGCGUUAUCCGGAUUUACUGGGUGUAAAGGGCGUGUAGGCGGGCAUGCAAGCCAGAAGUGAAAUCUGGGGGGCUUAACCCCCCAAACUGCUUUUGGAACUGCGUGUCUUGAGUGAUGGAGAGGCAGGCGGAAUUCCCAGUGUAGCGGUGAAAUGCGUAGAUAUUAGGAGGAACACCAGUGGCGAAGGCGGCUUGCUGGACGAUGACUGACGUUGGAGGCUCGAAAGCGUGGGGAGCAAACAGG
rnacentral:rRNA from 1 species